UACGAAGGGGGCUAGCGUUGCUCGGAAUCACUGGGCGUAAAGCGCACGUAGGCGGCUUUCUAAGUCAGGGGUGAAAUCCUGGAGCUCAACUCCAGAACUGCCUUUGAUACUGGAGAGCUUGAGUCCGGAAGAGGUGAGUGGAACUCCGAGUGUAGAGGUGAAAUUCGUAGAUAUUCGGAAGAACACCAGUUGGCGAAGGCGGCUCACUGGUCCGGUACUGACGCUGAGGUGCGAAAGCGUGGGGAGCAAACAGG
rnacentral:rRNA from 1 species